rnacentral:rRNA from 1 species
GAUGAACGCUGGCGGCGUGCCUAAUACAUGCAAGUCGAGCGAACAGACGAGGAGCUUGCUCCUCUGACGUUAGCGGCGGACGGGUGAGUAACAGUGGAUAACCUACCUAUAAGACUGGGAUAACUUCGGGAAACCGGAGCUAAUACCGGAUAAUAUAUUGAACCGCAUGGUUCAAUAGUGAAAGACGGUUUUGCUGUCACUUAUAGAUGGAUCCGCGCCGCAUUAGCUAGUUGGUAAGGUAACGGCUUACCAAGGCAACGAUGCGUAGCCGACCUGAGAGGGUGAUCGGCCACACUGGAACUGAGACACGGUCCAGACUCCUACGGGAGGCAGCAGUAGGGAAUCUUCCGCAAUGGGCGAAAGCCUGACGGAGCAACGCCGCGUGAGUGAUGAAGGUCUUCGGAUCGUAAAACUCUGUUAUUAGGGAAGAACAAAUGUGUAAGUAACUAUGCACGUCUUGACGGUACCUAAUCAGAAAGCCACGGCUAACUACGUG